AUUGAACUCUGGCGGCAUGCCUUACCCAUGCAAGUCGAACGGAUUGGCGCACGUGCGAGUACUGUAUAGGAACGUGCCCAGUAGCGGGGGAUAACUACGCGAAAGCGUAGCUAAUACCGCAUACUAUUGGAGCGGCCGAUAUCGGAUUAGCUAGUUGGUGGGGUAACGGCUCACCAAGGCGACGAUCCGUAGCUGGUUUGAGAGGACGACCAGCCACACUGGGACUGAGACACGGCCCAGACGCCUACGGGAGGCAGCAGUGGGGAAUUUUGGACAAUGGGGGAAUCCCUGAUCCAGGCAUCCCGCGUGUGCUAAGAAGGCCUUGGGGUUGGAAAGCACUUUUGGCAGGUAAGGGGUACAUGCAGAAGAAGCACGGGCUUACUACGUGCCAGCAGCCGGGGUAAUAC
rnacentral:rRNA from 1 species